GGUUAGCUUCUCUGUCUCAUCGGCACUCAUAACCACCGUCGGAGAAGAUGCUACGGGUCGCCUCGUUAUUCUAUCCUCCAUUGGCUUUAUGCUUAUCCGAUUCCACGAACGUAUCUUCUUGUCCGACUCCUUAAUGCACGGCAACUGCCCGGCCGGGAAGACUCUCCUCGGAGUUCUAAUCUCAAGCGGCUGACGUCUCUUGUGGUCCUACUCAUUCGCCGGAAGGAGCUCCACAAGUUAUUUGAGAUGAUUGAAAUUGCGAAGAGACUUUAUGGAAAGUUGAAUACAAUUUUUAUGAAUGCUGUCCAGGAAGCCUGUGCUCACUGCGGUGAUAUUGAUUUAGCUCCGAAGAAUUCCACUGAAAUGUCCAAACCAAAUAAUUGUGGAGUAGACAAUGUCAGUUAUGGCACGCUAUUGAAGGAUUUCAAGGCCUGAAAUAAGCUGAGAUGACAACACAAAAAGCUAGAAGAUGGAUGUAUAGUGUCGCAGUUUGAUCCAAUCGACGAGGAAAUGACUUCUGGAAACUCAGUGAGGAAGAUACAGAUGCUUGGAGAGGGGAGGCCCACAUGGUGAUGGUCAUUAUUUAUGAGUGGGGGCAAAGCCACAUUACAUUCAUCCAGGUACUGUCCUUACUAAUCCUUAGCUCAAUUAAAAUCUCCAAUUUGCCAAUUUCUUUCAUCCUCGUCCUCGGGUC